rnacentral:tRNA from 1 species
AGAGACUUAGGCUAACAAUUCAGACCAAGGGCCUUCAAAGCCCUAAGCAGGAGUGAGAAUCUCCUAGUCUCUG